GAUGAAGAACGCAGCGAAAUGCGAUAACUAAUGUGAAUUGCAGAAUUCAGUGAAUCAUCGAGUCUUUGAACGCACAUUGCGCCCUCUGGUAUUCCGGAGGGCAUGCCUGUCCGAGCGUCAUUGCUGCCCUCAAGCCCGGCUUGUGUGUUGGGCCCCGUCCCCCCCGCCGGGGGGACGGGCCCGAAAGGCAGCGGCGGCACCGCGUCCGGUCCUCGAGCGUAUGGGGCUUCGUCACCCGCUCUAGUAGGCCCGGCCGGCGCCAGCCGACCCCCAACCUUUAAUUAUCUCAGGUUGACCUCGGAUCAGGUAGGGAUACCCGCUGAACUUAAGCAUAUCAAUAAGCGGAGGA
rnacentral:misc_RNA from 1 species